GGAGUCGUGGCUCAAUGGUACAGUGCUUGCCUGACAUGCAUGAGACCCUGGGUUCGAUCCUCAGUGCUGCA
rnacentral:tRNA from 1 species